rnacentral:lncRNA from 1 species
AUUUCUUGUUAGACUUCAACCCUUGGCCUCUCAUUAUCAGGGUGGGCUCUUUUAACUUCAUAUUCUCUUUACUAAUAUUUUUCAAAUUCGGAGAGUUUCUUCUUCUUUUAUCCAACCUUUCGAUCCUCUCGUUGUGUUCUCUCUUUUGGUGAAACUCUUACAGGGGAGAACUUAACAUUGAGGGAACAACUUCUUUCCUCUUGGAAAAUGGGAUCAAACUUAGAUUUAUUCUUUUUAUCUCUUCAGAGGUAUUCUUCUUCUUUUCAUUCUUCUGGGCUUAUUUUCACUAUUUUCUAUCUCCUUGCUUAGAAAUUGGCAUGCUUUGACCUCCUGUGAACAUUGAGGCAUUCGACUUUACGAAUGUCCCUCUUAUCAACACUCUAGUUUUAAUAAGAUCCGGUUUAACCGUAACAGUUAGGCAUUAUUUCAUUAUUAAUGGGAAUCUUUCUAAGUCGAUGUUGUUUCUGGCGCUUACGGUUUUACUAGGGGGAUUUUUUUCUUACUUACAGUGAAUGGAGUACAAUAACUCUUUUUUCUCUAUCAGAGAUGGCAAUUUUGGGACCUCCUUUUUUGUUUUAACAGGAUUCCACGGGAUCCACGUGCUGAUCGGCUCCUUGUUCCUUCUUAGGGUUUUACUACGGUCAAAAUUCCUUAGGAGUUCAGAUAAGAAUUUCCUCAGGUUUGAAUUGGCAUCCUGAUAUUGACAUUUUGUAGAUGUAGUCUGAAUCUUUCUAUACUUUUUUUUGUAUUAUGUGACUUAUUAAGUAAUAGCUUUAAGCAGAUUUUUCUUCCAAAAAAGUCCUAAAAUUACUAAUACCAUAUAUAUUAUUUUCCCUAGGUUUAGUCCUGAUUAUCCUAGUUCUAUUUUUUUUAGGGGGUAAGUCUUUAAAAGUGGAUAAUUUAGUGUCUUCGGUCUUUGAGUGUGGUUUUUCUCCUUAUUACUUUUCGCGAUUUUCAUUCUCAAUGCACUACUUCAUCAUUGGACUCAUUUUUUUGUUCUUAGACUUAGAAUUGUGUUACGUUAUACCUUUCUUUAACUCAGGAUCAGAAGACUUAAAAUUAAGGUCUUUUAUAUGGUUAUUUAUCCUCGUAUUAAUCUUGGGACUGUUGGAAGAAUGAAAGUUCCAAAUGUUAGAAUGAAAAUUUUAGGCCUACCAAGUUCUUUUGCAAUGAACUAAGAAAAAGGCCUGUUAGCUAUAGACCAAAUUUCGAACUUGGAAAAGAAAGCUUCGACUUAAGCUCAUAGAGCAUCUCCACUGUUAAUGGAGAAGGGGGCGUCGAAGGGAUUCAUAAGGAAACUUCUAAUUUCCAGAAAUAAAAUCCUUUGUAGAAAAUGAGCUCUUUGAUAAGGGGUUUUUGCUAAUAGGGCUUCUACAACUCUUUGGUGUAAGAAACAUAUUAGAUUUUCAAUCUUGAGUUUAAGAGUUAUACCCAAUGACUUUGGUAGCUUCAAUACCACGUUCUUCUUAAACUAAAAAGGUUAAAUCAAAAAGAUGAUGAGAAUUGAAAAAAAUAAAAAUUUAAGGCCUGAGUAUUUGAAACUAGAACUUAUCGUCUGAAUUAAAGAGCCUGGUUUAAAUAUGUAAUGGUCCCUAACAGAGAGAGAUAAAGAGAAGUUUGGGUUAGAGAAUAAAGUUAUUCUCGAGAAAUAAAGAUCNNNNNNNNNNNNNNNNNNNNNNNNNNNNNNNCACGUUCUUUUUAAACUAAAAAGGUUAGAUCAAAAAGAUGAUGAGAAUUGAAAAAAAUAAAAAUUUAAGGCCUGAAUAUUUAAAACUAGAACUUAUCGUCUGAAUUAAAGAGCCUGGUUUAAAUAUGUAGUGGUCCCUAACAGAGAGGGAUAAAGAGAAGUUUGGGUUAGAGAAUAAAGUUAUUCUCGAGAAAUAAAGAUCUUUUAUAUUGAAAACAUUGGGCCUUGAUUUUAAAAGUAAAUUAGCUCUGAAUUUUGGAAAGAAAAGCAAAAUUAGGAUAAAUAAAACUAGAAACAAACCAGUUAUAACUGAUGGGUUGAAAAUAACAAGGUUAUCACAAAGUAAAAUUUUAAGGAUUUUAAAGACGAUUAAUGAGAAGGAUCUAAAUAAUAAAAUAAGCAAAAAGAAGUAGGAUUUAAUCCUUCUAAUAGGACUGAAUGCUGAAGGAACGCUCACCAACCCUUCUAUCAGAGAAGAUCUAUAGAGCAAGGUUAAAACUCUACCCGUCAAAAGUAUCAGAAGCAGAAAAAGCCUCCUAUCUGCACACGCCUUCUCUAGGACAAUAUCCUUCGUAAAAAAGGAAGAAGAGUAAAUCAAACCUCUUAUUCCAAAAAGGGCAGAAACCAUAAAGAAUCUAAUGGAUGAAGUUUUUGCAUCCACUUUAAUGCCUUUAAUUAUCUGAUUCCUAAAGGAUCAGGUGAAUAAAACUCCGCAGCCGCAAAAGAGAAGGGUUUUGAAAAGGGCAUGACAAAAAGUGUGGGCGUAUCCCAUGCUCAGCAAAGUUAUGCUGAUAAAGAAGAUAAUUAUACUAAUUUGCCUUAUAGUAGAAAAAGCUACAAUUUUCUUUAGAUCUUUUUCUACAAUCCCUAUUAAACCGCCUAUUAAGAAAGUGACGCAAGAUAAGGCCCCCAAUAGAACACCGAACGAAGAGUCAAACAGAUACCACCUCAGUUUGAAAAACACUAAGAUUCCUGCAGUAACUAAUGUUGAUGAAUGAACUAUAGCUGAGAUAGGAGUUGGAGCAGACAUAGCUGCUGGCAAUCAGCUGGAGAAAGGAAUCUGAGCUCUCUUAGUGAGAAGACAAAUUAACAAUACUCAAAACCUUGAAUAAUUAAAAGAAUCUCUGUUGAACAGAAAAUGCGGAAAAUCUAGGAACAAAAAGCAAAAAAAAAAGAU